GUGCUGAUCGAGGCGUAGGGUACUGGGACAAGGGGCCACAUUGUUUUGCCUCAGUGCUUUAGGGGAGUUUGGGGAGAGCUGAGAGAGACACUCUUGUGUAACUAACUCCUUUUGCAGGGUCUGCAUCCAUGAGGGAUCAGGACAGCACUGAGCAUGGCACACACCUCUCUCCUUGACUUUCCUUAGGGCAGGACUUGGCACAGGACAGGGGGUUUGGAAGCGCACACUGCUCACAGAGCACAGGAGAUCCAGCACAUGCUGGGCUUGGCCAGGGUUUGUUCCUACUGCUGCUGCUCUCCUUGCUCCUCUCCUGGCUGCCUGGCACCACCGAAACAAGUAAAAUCCUCAAAUAAGAGUCAGCUUGUCUCAGGGAGGUGCCGUGCUGUUGCUUUGAAGUUUCUUCGAAGGCAUGGGGUGCCCAGGGCUGUCCUGUUGGGGUAGAAGGCACAGUACCCAGAGAUGGAGCUCCCCCCACCCCGGCGCUGCGACACAGCCCCACUGCUGAGGAUGAUGAUUCCCAGGCAUGAGUCAGAGCAGAAGGUCCUCAUUGAAACCCGGAGACCUGGCAGAGUUCUGGACCCUGACCAAGGGAUU
rnacentral:lncRNA from 1 species